UGGCCUCAAGUGAUCCGCCCAACUCGGCCUCCCAAAGUGCUGGGUAACAGAUGUGAGCCACCACGCCCGGCCGAUACUUCGUUUUUCUGGAGGUCAUUUACUUAGCAAGGCUAGCUGUUUGGAUCCUGGCUAAAAAUGUGAAAGAAGACAGAAAGAGUCACAAGCAGUCAACAAAAGUCACGGGUCCUAGCAGGUAAAAGUUCAAGUACUUGAUUCAAAGCCGAAAUUCUCAGGUCCUCAGUCGUAGCCUGGUUACCCUUACAAACACCAGGGCUAAAGAGCACGGUUCAUGAUCUUUCCAGGACACAAGAUUUGAAAGCAUCUGUUUCGAAGGGAGAUAGCCUGCUAGAGGAAGCUUGCGGGCAACAGCAAAUUGGGAGUUGGACUAACACUUUCAGACUGGGAUGCCACGAAGAACUCGCCAGCAGAGAUAAGAGAUGGGCAAGAUGAAGAGAAUGAACUGUGAUUCUCAGAUAUCUGCCCGCAAGGUGGUUCCGAGAAAGCCAGCCGGAAACUGCAGCAUCGCGGAGGAUUUCUCCGGUUCAGGUUAAAGAGACAGCAGCCAGACGGUGCCGACCUCAAACCCAACUCCCGACAGCAACCUUGAGGCCACCCGAGGUGGCGCAUGCGCAGUGUGCGAGAUCGUGCUCCUUUUCAUACCUGCGGACCUGCGGAGUCUUCUUCCUGAGCAGGGCUUACGUCACGCAAGCGCCGCGGGUGUGGACGUCAUCUGAGAGCGCCACGCGCAGUCCCGAAACCCUGAGCACCGUCUGGCUAAGGCGUUGCUGUAGAGACCGUGCGCCGAGUUCCGCCCCCGAGGCGGGAUUGGAGGAGAACUGGUCAGCUGACAAGGGUGGUGUUUCGAAAGCGCGCGGUAGGCCGUGCUGGGACUCAGAGCCCGAAAACUGAUUUGAGGGGCGUCUUGACCGAAGGUGACCAGCUCCUGGAGACGCAAUGGAGAACCUGAAUGUCCCCUCGCUCCCCUGGAGUCUGUAUGCUGAGGAAGGGGCUACAGACAAUAGCCAUGCACUCACCCAAAUAAGACAUUCUUCAUGAAUUGUGAUUCAACUGAAAGCUCCCCUUAAGUUUACUGUCAGGGUGCUGAUACACAGAGCUACUCCUAGAAGAUUGAGGGUACAGAUUAGCCUCCAGAAUGGAUGAUUUUUGCUUGUACGCCCACCAGCAAUUUACAAGAGAACCUGUUUCCCCACACCUUACCCGCCAACAUGGGGAGUUUUCAUUCUUUUAAUCAUUACCAAUCUGAUAAGGGGAAAUGAUUAUUUCAUGGUUGCCUUAAUUUUUGUUUCUUUGAUUAUGAGAUUGGACAUGUUUUCCAACCACAUCCUAUACUUUUGCAGUCGAGUUUUGUAGCUCAGUGCAGGACCUUACAUGUAUUCCAGUUAAAUUUUAUCUUGUUGGAUUCAACCAAUCAUUCCUUCCUGUUGAGAUAAUUUUGGACCUGACUCUGCAGUCCCAGCGUGUUGGCCUUCCUUCCCAGUCUGGUGUUAUUUGCACAAUUGAUAAGCAGUUAUCUUUGGACUUAUCCAAGCUGUUGACAGAAUGUUAAUGAGUGUAGGGCCAAGGACAGAACUGCUUGGCAUUCCACUAGAGAAAGCCUUGGGAUGAUACCGUCCCAUCUGCUGUGACAGUUCAACCUCACCAUGCCUGGGAGUCAUGGCUGUGUUAGGAGCCUUCACCUGGGACACAGGGCCUGCGCACAGAUUCCAGCCCUGGCCCUGAUUAGUUGCGUGGCCUUGAGAAUGUGCUGAGAUGUACUUUUGAGCUCUAGCAGCCUUUUCCUCACUAUUCUGUCCAUAAGAAUUUCAUGAGAAACGGUCAAAUUGUUGUCAAAAGUCAUGGCACUGUCACAAAGUAUUCACCCCAUUUUCUAAUUUAGUGGAAGCAGCAUAAUGAGAACCUUUUGUCAUGGAUAUUGACCUCUGGGAUCACCCUUCCUAUGUGCUGGUCAACCAUUUGUUUGAUUUUCUGCCCCAGAAUUUUGCCCAUGAUGAACAUGAGGCUCAACAGCCUUCAGUUUAUCCAAUUCACACUUUUUUUUUUUUUUAAAUACAGGGUUUUGGCCUCCUCAAUUCUCCAUGAUUCCUCACAGCACCCUGAGACGUCAGAAGUGCUCAGCACUCCCUCCCAGGGCUUGUUGGUUCUGUCGCCCUGGUUCAGUUUUCUUUCAUAUCAGGAAGGAGCAAGGUGGGAGGGCCACCUCUCCUCCAGGCAUGGACAGAGGGCCAGAGUUCAUUCACAGCUGUGGCAGCAUUGAAAGGAAAUGGGGAAAAUGCUUAGUUUGGCGGAAAAGGGGCUUUGUGAGACAGACACAUGGCAUCUGCCCAAGUCAUGAGCUGAAGAAACAGCUUCCAUGGCCCUGCCAGAGGGACCUCUUGUUAUGCAUCAUUCUCUCCAGCCCUGAGCUUCAUCAAGAAAAUAAGCAUCAGCAGUAUCAUCUCCAAGUGAAAUGGUGGCACAUUAUGUCACCUUUCUUUCCUUCAACAUCAAAAUCAGACAAGACUAUUCUAAGGAGGGAGCAGUAAACAUUAACCCCAUGUAACAGAUAAAAGACUAAAAGAGAAAUUAGAUAACUGGUUUAAGUGACACAGGGAAUCCGUCAUAACUCUGGUGACAUGGCUUCUUAUCAUGCCUGGAAUGUAGUUACUGAUUUACACCUUGUAAAUUUCUCAGUACACGAUGUACAAGUGGCCACUCCGUACUGUCUGUUUAUUCAGACUAAUAGUAAUCACGAUAAUAUGCCAGGCACAGUGGCUCACACCUGUAAUCCCAGCACUUUGGGAGGCGGAGGCAGGAGGA